CUGCCCUCAGUGGGGAGGAUGGUGCCCAGGGUCUCUGACUGGGAAGGCUGGCUAGGGGGAACCCCUCCACUUGCUCCCAUGGCCUGUUCUCGUGCUUUCCUCGUCCUGCAGACCCUGAGGCCUGAAGGGUAGCCAUCCAGGAAUGACACUACCAUCCACAGUCACCAUCCAGGAGAAAACUACCAUCCACAGUCACCAUCCAGGAAGUAAUACCACCAUCCACAGUCACCAUCCAGGAAUGACACUACCAUCCACAGUCACCAUCCAGGUAGUGAUACCACCAUCCGCAGUCACCGUCCAGGAAGGAAAAUACCAUCCACAGUCACCAUCCAGGUAGUGAUACCACCAUCCACAGUCACCAUCCAGGAAGGAAACUACCAUCCACAGUCACCAUCCAGGAAGGAAACUACCAUCCACAGUCACCAUCCAGGAGGAAACUACCAUCCACAGUCACCAUCCAGGAAGGAAACUACCAUCCACAGUCACCAUCCAGGAGGAAACUACCAUCCACAGUCACCAUCCAGGAAGGAAACUACCAUCCACAGUCACCAUCCAGGAGGAAACUACCAUCCACAGUCACCAUCCAGGAAGGAAACUACCAUCCACAGUCACCAUCCAGGUAGUGAUACCACCAUCCACAGUCACCAUCCAGGAAGGAAACUACCAUCCACAGUCACCAUCCAGGAAGGAAACUACCAUCCACAGUCACCAUCCAGGAGGAAACUACCAUCCACAGUCACCAUCCAGGAGGAAACUACCAUCCACAGUCACCAUCCAGGAGGAAACUAACCA
rnacentral:lncRNA from 1 species